rnacentral:rRNA from 1 species
UACGUAGGGUGCAAGCGUUAAUCGGAAUUACUGGGCGUAAAGCGUGCGCAGGCGGUCUUGCAAGACAGAUGUGAAAAUCCCCGGGCUUAACCCUGGGAACUGCAUUUGUGACUGCAAGGCUGGAGUGCGGCAGAGGGGGAUGGAAUUCCGCGUGUAGCAGUGAAAUGCGUAGAUAUGCGGAGGAACACCGAUGGCGAAGGCAAUCCCCUGGGCCUGCACUGACGCUCAUGCACGAAAGCGUGGGGAGCAAACAGG